ACGUAAUUUUCAAUUGAUUGGUUGAAAAAUAAAUGAUAAAUCAUUCGAUAUUACAGCAAAUGUCCUGUAACAAAAAGGAGCAGGACAUGUACUGUAGCUUUACAGGUGGAAGCAUUAUUUUUAAGUGAGAACAUUAUUUACAGGCUGGUUUGAAUUUUAGGACUGUAAAAUUCGAGUGAUUGUGGAGUGUUUGUGAAUGCAGUUUACAUUACUUUCCGUUAGCAUCUUUUCGCAGACACCAGAUCGCGUGAAUUCCAGUAAUAAGCGGCCAACUUUUUAGACUGCAGGUUUAUUUUGUUUUUCUUCGAAGAAGAAAAGAAGGUUAUACUUGAUUUCAGGCCAAUUUAAGACCCACUAUACAAAGAGGAACUGAUGGUAGAGACGAGGAUUGGCAAAAUUGCUCUCUUUUUGAAUGCAUGUGGAUGGAUUCCGAUGGCCUAAUUGAUAAAGCUCGAUUUUGCUGAUAAAAUAUAACAACCAACUCAAGGAAAACAAACCGGAUCAGUUACAGCUAGGCCUGAGCCGGAUGGGUCCGUGGGAUAUUUGGCUUGAAUCGAGCAAUCGGAUAAGGACGCAGAAGAUCGACGACAGUAGCGGCACCGAUAGGGAUGAUCCGAUUGGCGACGAUGACGAUGAGGUCGUUUCAGCUGAUUCUCCGGGGGUUUUCCCCGGAUUUUCGCAACUUUGUGUCGCAGAAAACGCACCGAAAAAUCUAUGUCCAUUGUGCCCUUUACGGCUAAGGUUAAAAAAAAGCCAUUAAAACAUGGUUCGAAAAUUAUUCUUUCAUGUAUUGUUAUUGUAAUUAAUAAAU